ACCCCCUAAGUGGGAGAAUUGCCACCAGAUCCCAUAAGAACUCCGGAGUUAAGCGUGCUCGGGUGGGAGCAGUCACUGGAUGAGUGACCUCCUUGGAAGUCCCAAGGUGCGUGGUA
rnacentral:rRNA from 1 species